UCCCCCCCUGUUCUAUUACUAGUAGUUCGUCCCUCGCUCGCACGGACUUCGGUCUGGUGGGACUGCGAAGGGGUGAGUAAUGUAUCGGAACCUGCCCGGUAGCGGGGGAUAACUACCCCAAAGGGUAGCUAAUACCGCAUACGCCCUACGGGGGAAAGCAGGGGAUCGCAAGACCCCGCACCAUUGGAGGGGCCUAUAUCGGAUUAGCUAGUUGGUGGGGUAACGGCUCACCAAGGCGACGAUCCGUAUCUGGUUUGAGAGGACGACCCGCCACACUGGGACUGACACCGGCCCAGACUCCUACGGGAGGCAGCCCUGGGGAAUUUUGGACAAUGGGGGAAACCCUGAUCCAGCCAUCCCGCGUGUGCGAUGAAGGCCUUCGGGUUGUAAAGCCCUUUUGCCUGGAAAGAAACGUCGUGGGUUAAUACCCCGCGAAACUGACGGUACCUGCAGAAUAAGCACCGGCUAACUACGUGUCAGCAGCCGCGGUAAUACGUAGGGUGCAAGCGUUAAUCGGAAUUACUGGGCGUAAAGCGUGCGCAGGCGGUUCGGAAAGACAGAUGUGAAAUCCCAGAGCCUUCACUUUGGAACUGCCUUUCUUAACUCGCCCGGCUACAGUGUGCCCGACCGCCCGCGGAAUUCCCGUGUAGCAGUGACAUGCGUAAUCUCCGGAGGAACACCGACGGCGAAGGC
rnacentral:rRNA from 1 species